CAGCUCCAAUUUCUCUUCAUUAUCGCAUAAAUCUUUCGCCAUUUACUAAAGGUUUCCGCGGAGGGGAACUUUUUGCGAGUGAUUUGUAUUUUUGGAGGCUCUGCUCACAGCAGAGCU
rnacentral:snRNA from 1 species